UUUCAGUAAAUUUAGUUUGACGACGACAACAGUACUCGAGCCACCAUGAAAUGAAUAUCGGGGAAAAUAUUUCGUUUCUGUAGGCGAAUAUUCGUGUGUAGUUUUUCCCUAUCUGUGAUUUUAUUAACGUGUUCGAGAUCAUUCCAACUUCGUAAUUUUAUACGUAUAUUAUUUGUGAAAUCGGUACGUCAAAAUUUAAAAAAAAAAAAGAGUGCUUUAUACAGUGGAGUUUUGUGGUUUUUUUUCUCGUUUCAAUUAUAAUGAUAGACCAUAAUGGCCGGAGAUGUUUGCCGGAAAAGCGAAUCAGAGAUCAUCAAACGUUCGAGUCAUGCAAAUCUUCCACGAAUUAAAAGCGCAAUUCCCCAUCAUUCCCGAUCACAUAAUUACCUCUUGCAUCGCUUCUUAUGUAAUCAGCGAAGAGUCUUCACUGUCCUCUAGGAAUCUUCACGACCUAGUGUUGGCCGCCGUAGCCAAAGACCAAAACUGUCCGAUGGGACGUCCAUCUUUACAGCUAGAAGCACCCCCCUCCAUCCCAAUAACCCCUGUAUCCGAAACGGCUGUGCUUACCGAGUCCAAGAACCAUCGGCUCGAACCACCUACACGAAUUGACGCGAUGAACGAAAGUGCCUUAGUGAACUCCACCAAUUUAAAAAGUGAUAACAACAACACCAGUAACUUACAACCGAAAAGACCGAACUCUUUAAAUUUACGUCCGGACGAGCGACGAUUGCAACUAUCGGAAAAGUGUCGUGACGUUUUCAAACUGUUAAACUCCCAAGUGACCUCAGAAAAACCGCCUAGAUCCCCUCUAAGUGCCAAACGGUUCGCCGCCAAACAAGUUCCCAAAAACGAAUCGCCUAAAAAGGAAACCGUCUCCACUCCAACCCAAACGACUGACACCCUAGUAAAUAACAUCACCAGUCCGGCCAGCCUAAAUCUAUCAUUAAACGUUAAUUGUCAAAUGGGACUGGUGCAGAGCCCUACCAAACCCCGAUGUACCGCCAGAGUUGACGUAACCCCAACCCAACCGUGGCUCAGUCCAGUUUCCUCCAGCAGUUCGGGGAAUUCCCCGCGAAGUUUCACCAGUGUUAACUUGACUUUGCGACCGCCCACCUCCACCCCGCAAGACCCUAUUGAUAUAACCUCACAAAAUUCUAGUCUGACUUACUCGACGAGCAGUUUCGAUAAGGAAAAGGGUCUACAGAGUAGACUUCAAAUCACAGUGGGACCGGGUAAUUCGGGUAGUGUCAGUUCGGUGCGGGCGAGACCGAGAAGUUUCCAUUUGGGGGAUAGUGGUGCAGUAGAAAGUGAGAUGGUGUCUGAAAAGAAGGCCAGUUCGAUGGGUGAUCUUGCAGUUGUGAAAUCGGAAGUUAGUACUCCUGUCCUCCUAAAACAACAAGCUCGGAUAGAGAAUAUGAGGAUAGAAUUGAGGACUGGCAAUACUAGGCUGGUGGUCCUGAGACAGGAGGUCGAAGAACUUGAGAGAAAGAGACUACAAAAGAUCGCAACACGAAAGACAGAAGAAGAAAUCGAGAAACAGUUGCGAAUGGAAAUCAAACACCUCAACUCCCAGUGUAAACUUCUAGAAGGCCCAGGGGAGUUUUAUAACAACAUAUACACCGGGCCGCCCCUUUGGCCCGAACACCGACCCCACCGGGUGGCACCAGCACCGCCCCCGGCCGCCUCCCACCAACUUCCGUCGAUGAUGCGUCGCUCGGGGAUUCCCGAACGUGGCGUGCCGUUCCGGAGACCGUGGAACUGUUCGAAAUGCACAUUCCUUAACCAUCCGGCUCUGGACAAAUGUGAACAGUGCGAAAUGCCGCAAAUCUUCCACGGUACGGGUGCGAAUACGAUUGACGGAGUGUUACCUAACCCGACUAAUAUCGACGUCUCCUUUGACAUUUUUAAGAAGUCCGCUAACGUGUUGAAGAAGAGCGUGAGUGCUGAUCCUCAAAGUAUGCGCGUUUUUAGGGACGGCGGAUCAGCGCUCAGUCCCUCUGAAAUGCUUAGGAGGCUUAAGCUUGAUAUUAACCAUAAUAAUAAUAAUGAAACUGAUAAAGGUCAAAUUCCUCUGGUUUCUAGUUCGUCGGCGCCGAAUGUUUUACAGUUUUCUGUUAAUGAUCAGAGUGGGGUUUAGAAGUGAGAGGGUUUAAUAAAAGUGAUCUCGGUAUUAUUAUUAGGCUGCGAGAAUAGGUUGGAAUUGACUUUAGCAGUUUAGCUUUUUUUUAGGCUACAAUAGCUUCACCUUAAGUAAGUUUAGGCUCAAUUUUUAAGUUACGGUCGUUUUGUCAGAUAAUCUUUGUAUUAAUUAAAAAGGAAAUAUGGCGCGUCCAAAAAACUAUUUUAUCACGAAAAAAAAAAUUAAAUGGCUUGCGAGGCACCAUACUAUUAGACGUCAAGAUGAUACAAAGGAGUUUGAACAUUGAACGAAUGUUCACAUCAAACUAAAAAGUAUUCUUGGAAUGUAAGGAAUGAUCUAUUUAUUGUACGAAGAAUAUUCCUAAAUACUAAAUGUCAAUUGCCUCCUGUUCUACCACUGGCAGGUUUCUAGGUUAAGAUUUGGUUUAGAAUCGGAGAUCGUUUUAAUGAGGACGUUUUUACUCAUCCUCAGAAAGUUCUCUAUAUUGUGAUGUAAACCUCAAGAAAAUGUUUCAAGUGUUUCCUAUAUGCGAUGCUACAAUAUACAUUUCAACAUUUCUUGGACUUUGUUGACAAAAUUGCGAGAAACUAUAAAAGUUUUUGAGGUAGAAGGAACGCGUUUAUGUAAAAUUGAUGCAGUAACUUUGACUGAAACUCUUGAAAAAAUAAUAAAUAUUUUUACGAAAAUUGUGAGGAUUUGCACCAAAAAAACUCUGAAGUUGUCAAAAUAAGAGUUUGUGAAUAAGUACGACCAAGUUUUUACCCUCAGGAAUCACUCUCUAUUUUAAUGUAAAAAUUUAAGAACAUAUUUAAAGUGAUUCCUAAAUUAUGCGGUAAAAUGUCGAUGUUAGAUAAAACGUAGCAACAUUUUGUAGCUCUUGGACCUUGUUGACAAAAUUGCCUGUAACUCUAAAAGUGUCUGAGGUACAAUGAACGUUCUUAUGUAAAAUUAAUGAGGAUAAUGUACUGUUUCUUUGAUUAAAACACAAACAACAAAACUUGUGAGGAUUUGCUAAGAAAAUCAUCCAAAAAAAAUUAUAUCGGAAAUUGUCAAAUAUGAAAUUACUUCUACGCCAUUGAUUUUUGACAUUCUAUUGACUGAGGUAGUACAGGAAUUAUAUUUUAGGCAGUUUCGUAGUUUAACUAUAAAAAAUUAUUAGACUCAACUGCCUAGAAGAAUUAAUUCAGUUAAUAAUGCUAUUUAAGGCAGUUUAGGCAUGGUUUUUUUUUGUUUUUAAUUUUCAAGCACUUCAAUUUAGUUAUAUGACUCAAUUGCCUAGAAUAAUAAUUAAUUAAAAAAAUAGAAGCCCUAAUAACUUCUACGCCAUUGAUUUGUGUGAAUUAUUUUACAAUUCCCGGCAGCACUAGUAACUUAUUUGACAAGACUCGAUCCGAUGUUGCCAGACUGUAAAUCUACCGAAUCAUCCAAAAAUGACGUCAUUCUAUUUUAGGCAAUUAAGCCUAUGAUAUUUUACUUUUCUUAUCGGGUACUUUAGUGCAGGUUUAUUAUUAUUCAACUGCCUAGAAUAUUUAAUUGAAAAAUGGAAGAACUUCUACGUGUCAAUUAUUUUACAAUUCCAGGCAGUACAGGCAUGAUUUUUCUUUUUAAUUUAAGGCAGUACAAUAUUUUAAAUAUAAAAAUGAUUAGGCUUAAUUGCCUGGAAUAAUUAAUUGAAAAAUAGAAGCCCUAAUAACUUCUACGCCAUUGAUUUGUGUCAAUUAUUUUACAAUUUCUGGCAGCACUAGUAACUUAUUUGACAAGACUCGAUCCGAUGUUGCCAGACUGUAAAUCUGCCGAAUCAUCCAAAAAUGACGUCAUUCUAUUUUAGGCAAUUAAGCCUAUGAUAUUUUACUUUUCUUAUCGGGUACUUUAGUGCAGGUUUAUUAUUAUGCAGUUAUUUAUUUAAUUGAAAAAUUGAAGAACUUCUAUGUGUCAAUUAUUUUACGAUUCCAGGCAGUACAGGCAUGAUUUUUCUUUUUAAUUUUAGGCAGUACAAUAUUUUAAAUAUAAAAAUUAUUAGGCUUAAUUGUUUGGACUAAUUAAUUCUAAAAUAGAAGCCCUAAUAACUUCUACGCCAUUGAUUUGUGUGAAUUAUUUUACAAUUUCCGGCAGCACUAGUAACUUAUUUGACAAGACUCGAUCCGAUGUUGCCAGACUGUAAAUCUGCCGAAUCAUCCAAAAAUUACGUCAUUGUAUUUUAGGCAGUUAAGCCUAAGAUGUUUUACUUUAGUGCAGGUUUAUAUACUGCCUAGAAUAUUUAAUUGAAAAAUGGAAGAACUUCUACGUGUCAAUUAUUUUACAAUUCCAGGCAGUACAGGCAUGAUUUUUCUUUUUAAUUUUAGGCAGUACGAUAUUUUAAAUAUAAAAAUUAUUAGCCUUAAUUGCCUGGAAUAAUUAAUUGAAAAAUAGAAGCCCUAAUAACUUCUACGCCAUUGAUUUGUGUGAAUUAUUUUACAAUUUCCGGCAGCACUAGUAACUUAUUUCACAAGACUCGAUCUGAUGUUGCCAGACUGUAAAUUCUAUGACAUUCGAAAAUCAUAUAGUUUAGGUGAUCAUUUGAAAAAAAUGGAAGGGUUGGGUGUAAAAAAUAGGCCGUCACAAUACAUUCAGGAGAAGAGAGGGCUUUUUUGAUUCAAAUAAAUGUGACUGAGUUUAUAGUGGAUGAUCCUUAAGCCUAACAGAGGCAUAACUAAAGUUUUUAUAUUUUUUUCCUUAUCGUUCCCCUGGAAAUGAACAAUAACCUGAUUAACUGCCUGGAAUUAGUAAAAUAUUUCAAUCUCUUUCAGGCAAUCAGGAAAGCCUGAUAAAAAUUAAUUCCUAUGCUUGUGAAAAAAAGAAUUGUUUUUUGGGAUAUUUAACUGCCUGGAAACCUAUAUAAUUUCCAUCUCUUCCACGCAAUUAAAAUAGAAAAAGACCUAAAGAUCAGAAAAGGUUUGAAAAAAUUGGUUUUGUGAGAAAUUUUUGAGAGGAUCAGAAAAGUGAGUCCAUAAAAACCCUCUUAUAUAGUAAUAAAAAAUGGAUUUUAAAAUGCCUGGAAGCAGUAUAUAUCUCUUUGUAUCUGAGUUAAUUGAAAACAUAAAAGAGAACUAUCCCUAAUCAACUAAAAUCAUUUUAUUAAAGGGAAAGCUUGAGAGCAAAAAGCUAAAUAAAACUUUUCAUUACAUAUUUUUUUAUAAUAAUAUUUAAAUUAGAAUUAUUUUCUAAUUUCAGGAAGUACAGGCAUAAUUUUCUAAUAUUUUAGGGAGCUGUCGAUUUCAUUUCUGAAUUUUAGGCAGUUCCAUAUUUCAAUUAUUAAAUGUUAUUAGGCUCAACUGCCUGGAAUAAUUAAUUGAAUCAAUAACGACAUUUUAAUUAACCCUUUACUGCAUGAAUUUUUUGUUUUCUUCGAAAAAAUUCCCAGGGAUGGAGGAAUACGCUUUAUUUAUGUAAAAAAUACCAAAAAAAUGGAAAGUGACAUAUAUGGAACAUUAUGCAACAACAUUAUCAUUUAUUCAGUGUGGAACCUCAAAAAACAAUUUCGGUCUUUAUUAAAACACAAGAAAACUUUACAUUUCGUACAAGACACAAAAGAUUUAUAUUCACACAAUGGAAACUUGCAUCCUGAUCUUUGUUGUUCACUCCAUUCUGGUAAAUGGUCAAUACCAUCAAGACGCACCUCUUGUUGAGGAAUUUCUUUGGUAGGUCCACGCUUCUUUUUUAUAGCAUAUAAUGUCUGAACCUCUGCUGAAGGUCUUCCUAAUAUUCUUUUAUAUUCUUUAUUAGCAUUGCAUAAAGAAUCAGCGAUGGCCAGCUUGAAGUCCUUAAGGGGUAGGUCAAAUUCUUUAUUGCUGCGUCUCCACAAGCAUUUACGCAACACAAAUCCAACAUGUGAAAAAAUAUGUGUAAAUACCAUUUCUUUGAUCGAAUUUUAAUCCUAUAAAAUCCCAAUAUGGCAUCCAGAAGGUCGAGGCCUCCCAUAUAAUUAUUGUAAACAAAAACACUUCUAGGGCAUUCAAUCAUUUUAUGAGUGUUUUCUUUUUUGAAAAAUCUUUUUUUCUCACCACGAGGUUCAGAACCAACAUAGGUAGAGAGGGUGGUCACGACUUUAUUAUCAUACCAUGACACUGUUGCAAUAUCCACAUUAUCUAUGCGAGAUAUUUUUUCUUUUAUUGUGCCGCGACCAGUUUUCUUCAUAUCUUUUUCAGAUGGUAAUGUACAUGGUAUACGAUUGGCUCUCACUGUCCCUAAAGGCAAUAGCCCUUCUUUAUGUAAGGAAAUCAUCAAAGGUAUGCUAGUAAACCAAUUGUCAAAAAAUAGUUUAUAGUUGUUAUUCCUUGGAACACUCUCGGAUAAUCUUAUUACAACAUUACUACUCAUUCCUAAAUUGGGGCGCCCGUUAGGAACUAGGUUGCUUUGGGAUCCUGCAAAAAGGUCGAAAUCGUAGCUGAACCCGAAUGAAAUUCCGCUUCUUAUAACCCCACUUGUGAGGUUUCUUAGGGUUAUAUUGCUUUAGUUGACUUCUAGCUUUGGUAGGAAUGAUUUGCUCGUCUAUAGCAAGGUGUUCCUCACGUGGUACCAAUAGUAGUCUUUCUCUUAUUUGGGUAAAAAAAGGUCUAAUUUUGAAUAACUUAUCGUGACCUGGUUGACCUCUUUGGAUCAUUUGACUAUUGUCAUUGAAAUGAAUAAAGCGUUUUAUCGUCUCGAAUCUAUUGCAGCAAAUAACCUCAGAAACAGC
rnacentral:misc_RNA from 1 species